UACGGAGGGGGCUAGCGUUGUUCGGAAUUACUGGGCGUAAAGCGCGCGCAGGCGGCUAUCCAAGUCAGUGGUGAAAGCCCGGAGCUCAACUCCGGAACUGCCAUUGAAACUGUUUAGCUUGAGGAUGAGAGAGGUGAGUGGAAUUCCCAGUGUAGAGGUGAAAUUCGUAGAUAUUGGGAAGAACACCGGUGGCGAAGGCGGCGCUCUGGACCGAGACGUGACGCUGAGGAGCGAAAGCGUGGGGAGCGAACAGG
rnacentral:rRNA from 1 species